UUUUUUUUUGCUUUUUUUUUUUUUUUAAGAGCUGCACCCAUGGCAUAUGGAGGUUCCCAGGUUAGGGCUCCAAUCAGAGCUACACCUGCCGGCCUACACCACAGCCACAGCAACAAAGGAUCCAAGCCGCAUCUUAGACCUAUGCCACAGCUCACAGCAAUGCCAGAUCCUUAACCCACUGAGGAAGGCCAGGUAUCGAACCUGAAGCCUUACAAUUCCUAGUCGGAUUCAUUUCUGCUGUGCCAUGACGGGAACUCUGAAACCACAUUUUUUUAUAAAAGAGAAAAAGAAACAAAUAUAAAAUAUAUAAAAUUAAAGACACGAAAAAACUUAGGUUAAUUCUGAAUUGGGUAUCAAUAGGAACAAAUGAUUUAAAGAUAAAAAGUAUUUUAUAGCUCUGCUGACUAAAACGUCUUAGAAACAAUGAUAACCCAGUAGCAAUGAGCAUACCUACCUCCCAGAUCUUAGCUGUUUAGUGAUGGUUUUUUGUUUUUGUUUUUGUUUUUGGCCAUGCCCUUGGCAUACAGAAGUUUCCUGGCCAGGGAGUGAACCACACCACAGUAGUAACCAGAGCCGCUACAGUGACAAUGUCGGAUUCUUAAUCGAGUGGGCCGCUAGAACACCUCCCACCCCAGAUCUUAGUUUUAAACAUUUUGCUCCAUUAAAAAGUCCUAGGGCUAUUUGGUGAAACGGCUACAACCAGAGCUGGGAAAUUGAGAGCAAGACUGAGACAUCUGAUUGUGCCAAGAAAGCAAGAAAGUACUCAAAACACUAAUGAUAAUGAGACGACUUCAAAGGCACAAAGGAGACAGUUUGAAGGAGACACCUGCAUCAACUUUAGAACUGCAAAAAUAAUGACUGAAGUGGACUUUAAAAUAUUAAAUAAAAAUUCAUAAAUCCCAACUAAUAUUAAAAGGGAAAAAUGAGAGAAGAAAGGCUCUUUACAGAAGAAUGCUGGUAAUAAAAGAAGAGAAGAGGGAGUUCCCUUUGUAGCUCAGUGGUUAACAAACCCCACUAGGAUCCAGGAGGAUGCAGGUUCGAUCCCUGGCUUCAUUCAGUGGGUUAAGGAUCCGGUGUUGCCGUGAGCUGUGUGCUGUAGGUCCCAGACACAGCUCGGAUCCCGAGUUGCUCUGGCUGUGCCGUAGACCGGCAGCCGUAGCUCAGAUUGGACCCCGAGCCCAGGAGCCUCCAUACGCCGAGAGUAUGGCCCAAAAAAGAAAAAAAAAAAAAAUUUAAAAACAUAAAAAAAAAAGAAAAAAAGAAGAAGAAAAGAAUGACAUGUUAAAAAGAACAAACCCAUAACUAAUUUGGGUAAGGAUUAUCAACAGAUAUACUAAGCAUCAUAGGUAACUGGAUGAGCAAGGUGUCAGAGGAUCACCCCCAAUACUGGGAACUGCUAAAGAAAAUUACACUGUAGAUACAUUACCUUAACCAAGUGACCAAACUUAGCCUCUCGAAGUUCUGCAAUAUGAAGUAUACAAAACAAAGAUGAAGUGAGCUUUUUUUUUGCGGGGGGGAGCCCUAUCCAUGGCAUGUGGAAGUUCCCAGGCCAGGGAAUGAAACCAUACCACAGCAGUGAAAAUGCUGGAUCCUUAACCGGCUGAGCUGCAAGAGAACUCCAAAGAUGAAGUUCUUAUUCAAAAUGCUUAACUUGAAUCUAACUGAACUUCUAAACCUAACUUCUCAUUUAAAAGAAACACAAAGAAUGAAGGAAGAAGGAAAAAGUUAAAUCAUCAGACAUUGCCAAAUAUCCCCUGUAGGGCAAAACUGUUCUGAGUUGAGAACCACUGGUCUACACUAAAUGAGACAAAACAUGAGCUUUGAUUGGAACCUGCUAUGGAAAAAAGUUAUGAAAGACAUUUUUGGGGCAACUAGAUAAAUCUGAGUAAGACUACAUAAUAGAUGUCAUUAAGAAAUUACUUUAAAUUUUUCUUAGGUAUGAUAACGGUAUUGUAAUGACACAGGAAAAUAGUCCUUCAUAAAGGAAAGGCAAGCUGAAAUUCUGAGGAAUAAAGUAUUAUGAUGCCUACAAUUUUCAACUGGUCCAGCUGUUAAACUGGGGAGUGAGAAUGUCUACGUAUUAACACUCACACACAUACACAUAAAAGAGAAAAAUGUGAAGAAAGAAAAAUUUUAUCUACUACAUUUACAUGCGGAGUAUAUGUGUGUUCAUGGUUACUAUUGUUUCAUGUUUGAAUAUUUUUACAAUAAAGAUUCAGGGGAAAAAAUCCAAACCCUGAAAAGCCGAAAGACACAAAUACAAUAUUUUAGGUACUUCAGUUCUGACCCUGACAUCGAACUCUUUUGGAUACUCGCCAUUGUGUUUACUCAACUGCUGAAGACCCCUAUAAUGGACUUUAAUAAAGGAUAAUCCUUUAUUAAAUGAAUCCUUGCUAUUCACAUUCCCAGGUUCAGAGUUCUAUUUAGGUAUGGCUUUUAGGUACACGCCUAAUUCUCUUAUAUAUUCCCAUGUCCAGAUUCCAAUGCCUAUCCUGGAGCACUGAAGCUGGCUGGGAUCAUCUACAAUUUAGAAGAUGAUUUAACUACUUAGAACCCAACAACUGAAGGGAGAGCUGGAAAACUCAAAGGGUCAAAACAAAAGCAGCUGCAGUAUUGAACAGUUAUCACUUAAAUCCUCAAAUACGGACUAGUGAAUACAAAGUAUGCUCUAUGACCAUAAGGAAAUUAAGUUAGAAAUCAAUAACAUAAGGAUACCUGGAAAAAUUCUCUAAUAACCAGAAAUUUAACAUUACUUAUUUAGGUCAUGGGUCAAAGGGAAAUUAAAAAAUAAUUUGAAUGGAAUGAAAGUGAAAAUACAUCAAAACUUCAGGAUGCUGAAAAAAAAAAAAAAAAAAACACUGCUUAGACAAAAACUUACAGUAUUAAAAUACUUCUAUUAGAAAAGUCUCAAAUCAAUAAUGUAGGCACUCUUCACUCAGGGGGAUGCCAGCACCUUUGCUCUUUAGGGUGUGUAUUACUUCUUCGCUUCUGACUUAAAUAAACUACUUCUCUGUGUGCUCUUCCCCCCUCAAUAAUGUAGGCUUCCACAAAUUAAGCAAAUUAAACACAAAGUAACCUUAAGGAAGAAAAAGCAGAAACCAAAGAAACUGAAAACAUUAAAAUAUAGAAAAGUAACAAAAGCAAAAGCUGAUUCUUUAAAAAUAUAAACAAACUGAUAAAUCUCUACCUAGACUGACCAAGGAAAAAGGAGACAAAAAUUACCAAUAUCAGGAAUGAAAGAGAUGGUAUCACUAGACUCAGUAGACAUUAAAGGGAUAACAAAGGAAUAUCCACUCAUGAAGAAAAGGAUAGCUCAUGACUACCUCUGUAUAUAUUAGCUGUCUAUAUACUAAAGAUACCGCAUUCAUCUUUAAAAACUCCCCAACAAAGAAAACAUCAGGUCCAAAAAAAACCAAAAAACCAAAAAAACAAAAGUUGUUUUGGAGUUCCCAUUGUGGUACAGCAGAAAUGAUUCAACUAGUAACCAUGAGGUUGCAGGGAAGAAACUUGGUUGACUCCCUAAAAGGGAUUAAAGUUAACAUCACCAGUAAUGGGAAAAACAGAUAUUACAUGACUUCUGACAUAAUGCACCGGACACACAAUCUCACUUCUGUGACAUUCUUGCCCAGAGCGCAUAAUUAUGGAGGAACCUAACUAUGAGGAAACAAAUUCCAAUAGAUGAACAAUAACUGACAUAUACUUUUCAAAAUGCCAAGGUCACAAAACACAAAAAGUCUCCAGAACUGUUCCAGAGUAAAAUAAAGAGAUAUGACAACUGGAGUUUCCUUUGUGGCUCAGUGGUAACGAAUCUGACUAGUAUCCAUAAGGAUGCGGGUUCAAUCCCUGGCCUUGCUCAGCGAGUUAAAGGAUCUGGUAUUGCUGUGAGCUGUAGUGUGGGUUGCAGAUGCAGCUUGGAUCCUGUGUUGCUGUGGCUGUGGUGUAGGUCGGCAACUGUAGCUGUGAUGAGACCCCUAGCCUGGGAAUUUCCAUAUGCUGCAAGUGCAGCCCUAAAAAGCAAAAAAAAAAAAAAAAAAAAAAAAAAAAAAAAAAAAAAAGUAGUAUCCAGAUUAAAAUAGACUAAACAGAUAUGACAACCAGAGUUCCUGUUGUGGCUUAGCAGGUUAAGAACCUGACAAAGUGUCCAUGAAGAUGCCUGUUUGAUCCCUGGCCUCACAAGUGGGCUAAGGAUCCAGCGUUGCUACAAGCUGCAUAGGUAGCCCAUGUGGCUUAGAUCCCGUAUUGCUGUGUCUGUGACACCACAGGCCGGCAGCUGCAGCUCCAAUUCGACUCCUAGUCCAGGAACUUCCAUGUCCCACAGGUACAGUCCUAAAAAGGGGAGGAAAAAAAGAGAGCAAUAACAACUAAACACAAUGCAUGACCCUAGAUGAUUUUCUUUGAAUAUUAACACAAUGAUGAAAUCUGAAUAAAGUCUGUAAAUAUUAACAUUAUAUCAAUAUUCAUUUCUUGAUUUUGAUUACUGAAUUGUUGUUAUAUAAAAUAAUGUCCUUGUUCUUAGGAAAUACAUACUAAAGUAUUUAGGGGUAAAAGGGUUUACUAUAACUUAAUCUUAAGUGGCUCAAGAAAAUAUAAACAUUCACAUACAUGUAUAUAUAUAGAAAGAGCAUAAUAAAACAGAUGUGAUAAAAUGUUAACAUUUGGGGAAAUCCAGAAGAAGGGUAUCAGAACUUCUUUGUCCUAUUUUUGCAACUUUUAAGUAUGAUGCUAUUCUAAAAGUUUAAAAAAAAAAAAAAAAGCGAGGGGUGGGUGGGCAGGGAUAAAAACAACAAGGUCCUACUACAUAUAGCACAGGGAACUAUAUCCAACUUCCUGGGACAGGCCACAAUGGAAAAUAUAAAUGUGUGUGUGUGUGUGUGUAUGAAUCACUUUGCUGUGCAGCAGAAAUUGGCACAUUAUAAAUCUACCAUUACCCUUUGAUAAUCCCUUGGAUACAGAUUUGGGAUUCGGUAGAGCAACCACAAUAUUAACUUAGAUUUCACUUGGCCCCUAAGUCCCAUGGCACCCUAAGGGUUCUGUGUUUCUAGACGGAAUUAGACCCUCUGAGAUUUUCCCUGACCAAUUCGAAAUUCUUCAAGAAAAGGAAGGAAAGUUCCUGGAAGCAUUUUGAAAACCCCCCAGAGAAUGUCCCUGCUACUCUGUUACUUCAUGGAUGGAAGUAGCAGUUUAUCAAAAAUGUUGCUUUUCUUAGAAAAAAUAAGUCAACAGAGAAUGCAUACUCUGGUACAGCCACUGGGCAGAGUCUCAUUUGAUCCUCUCAGUA
ensembl:lncRNA